GGAACACAAUAGAUCCUUUGAGUCGCAGUGUAUACGAGAUCCCAAAUUUAUACUUACGUACAUACAUCAGUUUUUUGUCACAUUUUCAUUUCUUUAGGAUCACAUUGUUUGUUCAACAUUCAGCAUACUGAACAAAUAUUAUCUUAAUUUCCGGAGUUUGUGACCUGAAACUCAAAUUACAUUGAAAUUGCGUACCACAUAACAUAAUAUGGGAUGGUUGUGUGUUUCCCGAAGAGAAGAAUGGAAAUGAAAUAACGCAAUUUGCUACAUAAUUUGGUAAAGGCUAGUCAUUAAUCAAAUAGAUGACGAUCCUCCUAUUGACAAUGAAUCAGAAAAUUCAAGUGCACAAUCUGAAAGACAAGCCCGGUAUUCUACCUUACAAAUAAGGAAACGCUAAAACUGCUUUCUCCUUUGCAUUCCACUAAAACCUAUCCUAAGACCAAAUAGACUCACUAACUUCCUCUUUCAACAAAUAAGAAUUGUAAUUGUAAACUGCACAGCUCCCAAUAGACUUGCACUUUUUACUAUGUACAAACACUUACAUCUUGUAAUUGAUAACAUAAAUCAAAAAAUGUUCUUAAUUUUUC